AAAAAUCAAAAUGUCAUGUCACUGACCUCAUAAUUCAUAUUAUUAUCUAAAAUUUCAGAUAAACUUAAACUUAAAUAAUUAUGUGAAUCUCAUCUCUGGAUAAAUGAGAAAGUGCGAAAAAGCAAUAUUGAAAUAGCAAGCAGAACAUUGUGCAGAGUGCGCGAAGCUCCCUGACCCCGAAGUUACAAAGACAAAGAUAGGUACAUAAAUAACUCCCAACGAGGUAAAAGUUAUGAUGAGACGAAGUUGAUAGAAUUCUCUGCUGAAAGUUUAAGUGCAAAUGAUUUGGGAGUUCACAAAAACUAGAGCAGCUGGUCAAAAUUGUGUUGAUUGCCGGCUUGCCCAAACAUUGAACAAGGAAGUACCGGCUUGGGAGAUGAUCAUGUGGUAGUGAGAACUUCAAGUUGGGGGAGGCGCCACCAUGUCUACACUUAAAAUAUUCAUAUUUGUAUCAUACAUCUGAAAAUGUAAAAAUUUAAUUGUACCUUAAUAUAGUACAUUGUUUUCAUUUUAAGUUUAAUAAAAAUGAAAUUAAAAGUAUACAUAAGUACUGCAA